GAAAUGCGAUAAGUAAUGUGAAUUGCAGAAUUCAGUGAAUCAUCGAAUCUUUGAACGCACCUUGCGCUCCUUGGUAUUCCUUGGAGCAUGCCUGUUUGAGUAUCAUGAAAUCUUCAAAGUAAAUCUUUUGUUAACUCAAUUGGUUUCUACUUUGGUAUUGGAGGUCUUUGCAGCUUCACACCUGCUCCUCUUUGUUCAUUAGCUGGAUCUCAGUGUUAUGCUUGGUUCCACUCGGCGUGAUAAGUUAUCUAUCGCUGAGGACACUGUAAAAGGUGGCCAAGGUAAAUGCAGAUGAAACGCUUCUAAUAGUCCAUUGAAUUGGACAAUACUUUUAUGAUCUGAUCUCAAAUCAGGUAGGACUACCCGCUGAACUUAAGC
rnacentral:misc_RNA from 1 species